rnacentral:ncRNA from 1 species
UACCUGGUUGAUUCUGCCAGUAGUCAUAUGCUUGUCUCAAAGAUUAAGCCAUGCAUGUCUAAGUAUAAGCAAUCUAUACAGUGAAACUGCGAAUGGCUCAUUAAAUCAGUUAUCGUUUAUUUGAUAGUACCUUACUACUUGGAUAACCGUGGUAAUUCUAGAGCUAAUACAUGCUAAAAACCCCGACUUCGGAAGGGGUGUAUUUAUUAGAUAAAAAACCAAU